AUGACCUUUCCGAAGGUUUUAUCCUGUCAAAGGAAUGUAAACAUUGGAUUAAAUCCUUCUCCAGAAAAGGUAGCAUCUCAUAGCCAUUUACUUAUUUAUGCUCCCUAAUGCAUAGAAAAGAAUUGACACAUGAAAAUAUGUUACAUCCUGUUGCCAAAGAAACACUUGACAUAGAUUACAAAAUCAAUGAGAUAUAAUAUUUUUGAGAAGUCAAUGAAAAAAAUGAAAAGGUACAUUAUGAAUAGUAGUUUUAGCAAAAUGUUUGGAGCAGAUGAAGGGCCGAUGUUGCUACAGGAGAACAGGAUACCUCAAGCUGGGUGCGGACAUUUUUCAUGUCAACAGUAGGGACACCAAGACAUUUAAUUCUGACAGCUUCAGCAUGCUUCCAAUGAUUAUGAAUCUCAUCCAGCAUAUUGUGAGUUAAACCAUCUCUCCCUACAAAUGGACACAUGGCAUACUACUAUAAGACAAAGACAGGGAAAUUAGGAGGAAACAAUUCACCAAAUUGUUGAUCCAUUAUGCCCUUAGUAAUUUUGGUGUCGCUUACCUAUUAGCUUCUUCGAGUUUUCCUUUUUUGAGAACACUAAGAUUCCAUUUGAUAUUAUACUUUUCAUUUCCCAAAUUUAUGUGUUCAUGCAUGUAUAAGUCAUGAAAAUAUAUAAGAGGUGCGCUAGUGUUUGGUUCAGUUGUAGUUUGUAUUGUGAGUUUUAAAAAUAAUGUUAAAAUAAAUAUCCAUUAAAAACACUUUUACUCAAGUUAUUUGGUAUUUGGUAAAAAUACUUAUAAGUGUUAUCACUUUAAAGAAGAAAAAACUAUCUGUUUAGUAAAAAUGACUUUAAAAUUUCACAAUAAAUUUUUAGUAAAAUCAAAAGUUAUUUUCUAAAAGAUACAUAUUGUCAUUUCUGCAUUUAAAACUAUUAACAGUAGAUUUUAACUUUACCUUUGGUUAAAAGCACUUAAAAUUUACCAGUUUGGUUGCAAAAAGCUUUUGAAACACAAAAAUCAAAGCCAAAACCCAACCAAACGCACCCUUUGUGGAAUAUCAAGUAGAAUUAGAAAGAGUUUUAUAUAAAACAACAAAAAUAAUAUUUUAAAAUUUUCAUGUUCUAGCAUCAUUUUGACAAUCAUUCUCUUCAUUGUUAAUUUUUUUAAAAAUAAAAAAGAAUGAGUAAUGUAUAUGGCAUCAACAUGGUGCUGCCUAUGUACAUUAUAUUUACAUGUUGGUUAGAACAUCAAUGAAAUUCCCAAAAUCAUCCCACCUGUUAGGGUCAUGGCCCAAAAUAGGAGACCCAAAAAUAUUAAACCACGUAUCUCUAAUUCUGGUUAUGUGCCCCACACACCCAUUAAACAAUCUAUUGUUUCUCUCUUUCUACACCAUCAAAAAAUAGUUAGAGAAAUAAGCUUUACAGUUUUUGACUUUUUACAAAUCCCUCCCCAUAUCCAAAGUUCAUCCCUAACAGUACCUGCAAUCACCCAAUUGAUACCAAUAGACUAUACAUUUUCAUCAUUGUUAAUUAAUUCAUAUGCUUUUCGUGAAUAAAAUACAUAUAACUUUAGAAAUAAGGAACUAGACAUUUUUAUAUACUAAAUGGACCCUGAUGUUCUUAACUAGCAGGAAAAAUAAGAAAAUACACUACCAGAUCAACUAAAUAAACUCAACUCAUGGAGGAAGUCAAAAGCAUCUCAUGCUCGAAUGCCACCAACAGACAAACCAUUGGAGAAGUGCAGCAAAUGAAAAAAAAAAGUUAAAAGUACAAUUUCCCCCCUUGUGAUUUAGCCUGAUUGUAGUUCAAUCCUUGUUUUCUUUUUGCAACAGUUCAGU
rnacentral:lncRNA from 1 species